CUUGCUCCCCUGAGAUCAGCGGCGGACGGGUGAGUAACACGUGGGCAACCUGCCUGUAAGACUGGGAUAACUCCGGGAAACCGGGGCUAAUACCGGAUAAUACUGACCACCACAUGGUGGAAAGUUGAAAGAUGGCUUCUAGCUAUCACUUACAGAUGGGCCCGCGGCGCCUUAGCUAGUUGGUGAGGUAAGGGCUCACCAAGGCGACGAUCCGUAGCCGACCUGAGAGGGGAUCCGCCCCUACUGGGACUGAGAACAGGGCCCAAACUCAUACGGGAGGCAGCAGUAGGGAACCUUCGGCAAUGGGCGAAAGCCUAACCGAGCAACGCCGCGGGAGCGAUGAAGGCCUUCGGGCCGAAAAGCUCUGUGGUUAGGAAGAACAAGUACCGUUCGAAGAGGGGGUACCUUGACGGUCCCAACCAGAAAGCACGGCUAAUUACGUGCUACCGCCGCGGUAAUACUAGGUUGCAAGCUUUUCCCGAAUUAUUGGCUUAAGCUCGCCAGGCGUCUCUAAGUCUUAUUUGAAGUCCACGCUACACCCGUGAGUGCU
rnacentral:rRNA from 2 species